rnacentral:lncRNA from 1 species
AAGCCAAUCUAUAGACUGAAGUAUCUGACCCCACUCAUAUGAGCUAUCCCUGGAAAUGCUGUUUGCAUUCUUAGGCCAAGCAUUGUAAACUGAAGACCAAUCAACCAAACAAAAAUGACUAAGGGAAUGACUAAUGGGAGAAAGUUAUGAGGAGCUAAAUAUAAAGGAACUGACUAUAUAGACUGACUAAACCAGGUCUCAAAAUAGAACGCUGAUGAGGGUGUUAUUGUUUUAUAGGGCAGACAGUGAUAACCAUGGAAGUGAGCAGCAACAGGAAGUAGGAAGAGGAAAAUUUAGACAGUAUCAGAAAAAUAAAGCUUCCUGUUAGAGAAGAUUAUUAGCCUAAUCCCAUCCCUCAAGGGGAAUGUUAGACUCUCCACUUGCUGAUCUGCGGGGCGCCCACUAACUGGGGCUCUGGAGUGUGUAUUUUUAGUUUUCCAGGACAAUGAACUGGACACCUCUCAGCCUUUCUUUUACACUCUGCCAAUGGUAAGAAGAGGAGUGGGAAAUCAGGAGGAGGAGGGGUCAAGGCAAAGCAGGAGAACAGCAGAUUCCUAUACUGUGCUCAGGCGACUUGCUUGCAGUGUGUCUUCUCAUUCUGGAGCCUCUCCCGAGGUCCUAAACCACAGACUUCCCAGUUUGACUAGAUGA